AUCCAAGUAUCAUAAUUAUAUUAGAAUGAUAAAACUUGAGAGCUAAAACAGGGAUCUAUGAGACUAUCUAGUUGACCCCUAAUUUUAUACAUUAAGAAACAUGAGGCACAGAGAAAUAAGAAGUCUGCCCCAAAUUAUAUAACUGGAUCAGUAGUAGAGGGGACUGAAUCUGUCAUUCAGUCAGAGAUCUUCCAAUUUUACAUGUAGAAUCUGGAAUGCACCAUUUUAAAAUCAGCUGUGAGGCAAACAUAGUACCUUAAAAUUUUUUUAUUUAAUUUUUAAAUCUAUGGGUAAUGUGUCCUAAAUAUAUAAUUGUAAUAUAAGAUUAAAAUAGCACUCAAAGAUCUAUUUAUGUCGAUUGCAUCAAUGUUACAUUUUAAAAAACAUUUAUGAAUAUGUAUUACCAUUAUUAAUGGUGUCUUAGAUCUCUAAUGAGUACUGUGUGUGUGUGUGUGUGUGUGUGUGUGUGUGUGUGUGUGUACACAAAUUCCUUUGUGAGAAAAAGGAGCAAAUGGAUUCAGGUACAAUCAGAAGAAUCUCUUAAACUCUUUUUUCUAUUUCUGGCAUCUGCUUUGACCAGAAUAGCUUUUUGAAGUUUAGAAGCGUUUGCUCUCUUUUUCUAGUUGGUGAUUAUAUAUUCAAUGACAAUUUAAAGUGAGGUAAGAAUGGAAGACAGGUUAAUUUAUUUGUCCUAUCAUCUUUCCACCUAUAGAUCUGGUUGGGGUUAGGGGAGCAAUAAAUAGCACCUCUAUGCCCUUGUAGGUUCCAUACAAAAUAAAUAAAACAGAAUAGCCAGAUAGGAAAGAAAAAUUGGGCAGGACCAUUAUAUCUGGCAGAGCUCUAAGCCCAUAAAGGCAACAUAAAGCAUUGGGAAGUUUUCCCACUUCUUCUCCAAGUAGUGACCUCCUACUAUGGUCCAAGCAUUGUGCAAGGCACGGAAUAUACAACCAUAAGUAAAGCAUUAGUCCUUGCCCUUUAAGAGCUCCUAGACAAGUGAAUGAAUUACAUUUAUAACAGACACUUAUGGUGUAAUAUAUUAACUGCUGUCAUAGAGAUACACCAGAAAUCUAGAACCAUAAGGUCUAGAAUGUUGAACUGUGUUUGGAAAUGAUACUGUGUAUGCUGGGGAAUAGGACAUGUCUUUUGAGAUGUUCAGCUUUAUGUCUUCAAAUGUUAGAGCUUUAUGAUGCUGGAGAGGAUUCUUUGAAUCUUAUCUUGAAAGCAGAUUCCCCAACUCAGUCAAGGUUUCAAAUGACUUGUAAUCCUGGCUGACAUCUCAACAGCAUCCCAUGAAACGCUUGGGUCAGAACUACCCAAAUAACCUGCUCCUGGAUUCCUGACCCUCAAAAACUAAGGGGACUUUGGAGUAUGCUAAGCAGAAGACAACUGACAGUUUGGAGAGGAACUACACCACUGACUUUACUAAAGCCUCUAGCUUGCAGAUGUCAGAUCAUUGGACUUCAAUCUCCAUAAUCAUAAGAUGUGACAUCUGGAAUUGUGACAGUCAUCUUGACACCAUGAAGGCUUUGAAGUAACAGCAGAAAGAUGGGAAGAAUCUAGGUCUUCAGUGACAGUUACCGACCUAGUGAAUUAACCAACCUUGAUUUUUUUCUUUGUGUGUAAUAAUAAACUCUCUCAUUGGUAAAGCCA